AGCUCAGUUGGUAAAGCAGAGACUGAAAA
rnacentral:tRNA from 1 species